GACGGAGGGUGCUAGCGUUGUUCGGAAUCACUGGGCGUAAAGGGCGCGUAGGCGGCGCCGGCAGUCGGCCGUGAAAGCCCGGGGCUCAACCCCGGAGGUGCGGCCGAGACGCCGGUGCUGGAGGCCGGAAGAGGAGGGUGGAAUACCCAGUGUAGAGGUGAAAUUCGUAGAUAUUGGGUGGAACACCGGUGGCGAAAGCGGCUCUCUGGUCCGGACCUGACGAUGAGGCGCGAAAGCGUGGGGAGCAAACAGG
rnacentral:rRNA from 1 species